UGCAAAAAGCUUGUGAUAAUGGAAGUGUGCAUUUCCGCUUGUGUUUGUAUAUGUUUACACCUGGCAUUAAUCACGUGCAUUGCACCCGAAUCAGAAUAAUCUUAGGCGCUAUUAAUUACAAAAAACGCGUUUAAUUAUUCACAUAAAUAAUACUCGUAUUUCGAUGAUGAGAUCACCAUGGUUUCAGAUGGCUGCAUGUCAUCAGCCGAUCAUCAGGGAACACAUCUGCACGUAAUCUCCUGAACGUCACAGUGGCACAUAGCUGUGGGUCAUAAGUUGAACGUCGCUGCUGCACCUGGCUCCAUGUCAGCUAAUCGUCGCUGCUGCACAUGGCUGCAGGCAACCAGCGGAAAGUCAAUGCGGUCACACUUCGAUAAAAGUAGUGAAAAAUUAGUUGGUCAAAUGGCAAAAAGCUUGUAACAAUGGAUGUGUGCAUUUCCGCUUGUGUUUGUAUAUGUUUAAACCUGGCAUUAAUCACGCACAUUGCACCCGAAUCGGAAUAGUGUUAGGUGCUAUUAAUUUAACAACAACGCCCUUAAUUAUUCACAUAAAUAAUACUCGUAUUUCCAUGAUGUUCGAUGAUGAGAAAACCAUUAUUUUAGAUAGCUGCAUGUCAUCAGCCGAUCGUCACAGCGACACAUAUCUGCACGUCAUCACCUGAACAUCACAGUGGCACAUAGCUGCACGUCAUAAGUUGAACGUCGCUGCUGCACCUGGCUCCAUGUCAGCUAAUCGUCGCUGCUGCACAUCGCUGCAGCAACCAGCGGAAAGUUAAAGCGGCCACACUUCGAUCUAAAAGUAGCAAAAAAAUGAGUUGGUCACAUGGCAAAAAGUUUGUAACAAUGGAAGUGUGCAUUUCUGCUUGUGUUUGUAUAUGUUUACACCUGGCAUUAAUUACGCAAAUUGCACCCGAAUCGGAAUAAUGUUGUGCUAUUUUAUAAACAA